UAAAUUUAAUUUCUGUACCUAUUACUGUUGAUUUAAAUUUUUGUUUUCAUUUUUUUUCUAAUGAUAUUUCUUAUACAGGGUGUCCUGUAAGUAGAUUAGGAAAAUUAAAAUUGUGAUUUUUGGAUAUAUUCUACGAAAAAAAUUGUUUUAUAUUAUCGCUCUAUCUGCAAAGUUAAUAUCACUAAGCUAUGAUUUAAGAAACCUCUUAAUUAUUUUAAUUAUUUUAUUUAAUGUGCAGUAAUGACAAAUAACACUGGUCAACAAGGUUUUUGUUACAGACACCACGAUAUACUUUUCUAUAGGUUUUUUGGGUGCUGAGCUCAUAUCCGAAGCCAAAAAAAUUCUAUCACAUCACUUAUUUGAGAUGAUCCCGUUAGAAAAUCGAAAAUGCCGCUUUUUACAAGUUUUCGAGAUUAUUUCUUAGCUUUUGGUUAUUUGUUUUAAAUAAAUUUGUAACGGUUUCUAAAAGAACUAAAUCUUGUCUUUGUAAAUCCGUUCUUUGCCAAUCGCUUUCAAAUUUCGACACAACGUUUCAUUUAUAAUCUCGCAAGAUUUUAUAUUUGCGAAGGUGGUGAAUCGCGGUGAGAUACAUCAAAGCGUGACCGUGUCAGAUAGUUAUACUAAAUAAUUACUAGUGAGAAAAAUAUAACUUUUUUCUUGUUAAAAACAAUAUAAGAACUUACAGGAAUGUAAAUGAAACGUUGUGUCAAAAUUCGAAAGCGAUUGGCAAAGAACUUUUCGAGAUUUGCUAUUAAAAGCAAAUAAACAUGAGAUAUACCAAACACGUUGAUUUCAACUUAAGUUUUCUCAAAGAAGAAAAGAGAUAUUUAAAAGAUUUAAACUGAUUUAGAAAGACAAGAUUUAGUUCUUUGAGAAACCGUUACAAAUUUAUUUAUAACAAAUAACCAAACGCUGAGAAAUAACCUCGAAAACUGGUAAAAAGCGGCAUUUUCGAUUUUCUAACGGGAUUAUCUCAAAUACGUGAUGUGAUAGAAUUUUUUUGGCUUCGGGUAUAGAAAAGUAUACCUUGGUUUCUAUAACAAAAAAAAGUUUAAUUUAUUUGACCAGUGAUAAUCAAGUUGUUUCCUUGGCUUUGUAUCUAUGCUAGAGCAGGUUUUUUUUUUUAUUUUAGAUGUAAGAUUUUUUUUCAAUUUUGUACCCAAGAAUCAUCUUUAAAUUUUCCUGAUCUACUUAGGCUAGGCGCACACAUGCGAUUUUGAUCGCGCGAUUAUUCAGCCGCAAAUUAGAUGACAACAAUUUUAAUGACUGUAGACUCAAUUUUCAAAUUUUUAAUUGCGGGAAGCAUGUGUGUUCACCGGCAUUGAAAUCCGUGUGAUCCAUUUUUGCGACUAAAUAAUCGCGCGACUAAAAUCGCAUGUGUGCGCCUAGCCUUACUGGCCACGCUUUAUAUGCACAUACUACAACAGUGCACGCACUGUUAUAAUUCUAUUCUUAGGACCUAAUACAUUGAUUUUAUUGUAAGUGCGUUCCAUUGAAAAUCGCUAGAGUACUACUAAAAGUACUUUGCCACCUCCCAAUGGAACAGGGCUAAAUACCCAAAAUCAAUCUUGAUUUAGAGUCAAACAAUAUUUUGUUGACUAUCAGGUAUCAGCCUUGGUCAAUUUUCAAACGAUUUAAAAGUAUUUAUCUGUUAAAGAAAACAAAUAUUCAGACCUUUCCUUCUUCUUCUAUUACAACGCAAGAAAUUGUGUAAAUUAUACUUCUGCACAUAGUUUUUAGCAGGGAUAGUAUUUUGUGGAUCUACAAAUUUUAAAAAAGACAGAACGUCAAAAUUAUUUAUUUUUGUCGUAAGAUUGUGCAAGAAAAAAAAACUGAAGGAACAGUGUUAUGCAGAUAAUACAACACUAUGUGGACUACACGAUGGUCUUCAUGUAUGUAAAUAAUUCAGCGUCUACAUAGUUAUGUCAAUAACUGGCUGAAUACAAUGGUGUAGCUGUGGCUGUAGCUUGUAGUACUGUCAAAAUUUUACUGAGUGAAACAACAACAAAAGUUGGCGGCAGCUGAGCAAAAAGUUGAGAAUUCUUCAACUUGCGCUACAAGCUACAGCCACAACUACACCAUUGUAUUCAGCAAGUAAUGUAGACAAUUUACAAGUUGUUUUUAUUAUCAGAAAAAAAAUCAGAGUUUCUCGGGUUUUCAUUUUACAUCGAACACCUCAGAGCUUUAGUUUCAUCAGCUGAUUUCUGUUUUGACAUUUUUUACUUAGUUUAGUUUCUUAUUUCAUGAAUUUCAUGAAAAAUCUUAUACUUACAACACAAAUUUUGUAUCCACAAACGACAAAUCACUUUUCGCACUCAAAACAAUUUUUUUUUUCUUAAGGGGUAAUAACACCUUGUAAACCACGAAAUCGAGCGUCAUUUUCAUCAGCGUAUAAAACAAAGAAGAAAUAUUAUUUUCUUUUGGUGUUUGUUUAGUUUAAUAAAGUAUAUUAAUAGGUAACAGAAUAGGCUAAUGUUAUUUUUUUUAAUGAUGUGAAAUUUUUUAAAUGGCGGUGUAGUUCAGGAUGAUAGUAAAAUCCUUUGUUCCCAUCGGGCGACCAACUAACUCCUACAGUUUUUAACCGAUUGGGCUGAAAUUUUGUGUGGAGCUUAAAAAUACUUUUCUCUAGUGAAGAACGUAGGAUUUUUUUGAAAUAUAUGUUUUUAAAGAAAUGGCAUUAGUUUAAAAAAUUUUUUUCAUUCCAAAAACAAAAUUCGUUGAAAAAAAGACCAUAAAAUCGUUAAAUUUUAAUAUUUCAAAAAAAUCACUAGAGAAUAGUAUUUUUAAGCUCCACACAAAAUUUCAGCCCAAUCGGUUAAAAACUGUAGGAGUUAGUUGGUCGCCCGAUGGGAGCAAAGGAUUUUACUAUCAUCCUGAACUGAACCAAAAGAAAAUAAUAUUUCAUCUUUGUUUUAUACGCUGAUGAAUAUGACGCUCGAUUUUAUAGUUUACAAGGUGUUAUUACCCCUUAAAUGACAACAGCUUAUUUGAUUUUGAUAACUCUGAAUUCUGUGCUUUGACAAAAUACCCAGAAUUGUUCAGGGUUUGUUCAGGGCGAACAUCGAACACAGGGGAAAUAACUCUGGUUGAAAAAGGAACUACGAAAAAAGCUUGACGUCGAAUUCGGAGCGACCCAGAGUGCACUAAGAGCUCACAACGAACAAACCUAUUGAUUGAAAUAUUCAUAUUCUUUUCUAAGAAAUGACGAUUAGGAAAACAGUUUUCAGAUGUAUUUAACUAAUUUUUGUUUCACAAAGAGCAAAUGCUGAAUAUAUACAGUGCUGUGCAAAACAUUUGCAACUGUUUCAACUUACUAUUUCGUAUUUAUUUUCUGAAUGUUUCUGCUCAUAAAAGAAUAAUGCAAUUUAUAUUGGGGAACGCUCUGGGGGUACACUUUGUAUCUCCAAGCUUUAUUUAAAAAAAAAUCAUUCUUCAAUGGGUUUUAAAAUUAAUAACAAAAUAUUAUUAAAUUUGUCUGCGCAAAACUCAUACAACUUUGUCUUCCAUUUUUACAUAAUAUUAGAUUAGACGGGUAGAUUUGAAAUGGAACUGAAUUAAAACAGGUCCCUCAGAACAUUCAGCUCAACAUAAUUAAUAAAUAUAACGAUAACCUAUCUCGAAAUUCUAUAUACACGGAAUGUUAUAAUGAUAUGUCAAAUAUUUCACGGCAAGUCAAACAAUUUUUCGUGCUAAACAUUCUUGUGAAACGUGUAUAAACUUUGUUGUAAAUAAAUGGAAAUCUGAAAUCGAUAAGAAAAAUGUGAUCAUAGCUGUGUUUAUUCAUGGUAUAAAAAGACAAGGUAUGAUCAUUAGAGCCGCCAUCUUACAAAAUGGGGUAAUAAGUUUUUGACGUUUAUUUUGGCAAAGUCAAAAGCAACAACAAUUUCCAAAACAAUUUGUUUACAACAACAAUUUCAAUGGGCAGCUGUCAAAACCUUAAGUAACCAUUUUUAAGUUUUGACAGUUCUAGAAACAGAGUUUUUUCUAAUGAUCAUACCUUCUCUUUUUAUACCAUGGUGUUUAUUGACCUAAAACGUGUAUUCGAAACUCUUAAUAUAUGUAUUCUGUUGCAAAAGUUGUCUAAAAUAGGUGUAAGAAAUACGGAACAUGCAUGGUUUAAGACUGGGUUCCCUUUUUCAGCGAAGUCAGAUCUCAUGUAAAAGCAUUUGUGUGUAUUAGUGAAUGUGUUUUUUUCUCUCGCCUUCGAAUUCUCUGGUAUUUUCCUCUCAGGAUGUUGGUUUUCAUUCAUUAACCCCGUUUGUAUGACCGAUUUAAAGAUCGAAUUGAAUCUGAAUUGAAAUUUCGAUCCAGGUAUAUGACUAUACCAGAUCGAGGAAUCGAAUUGAAAUAGAAUCGAAAACACAAUUUUUCUUUUUAAUAUAUUUGCAGUAAAAUAGAAAAAUCUAACCAAGAACAAAGUGCAAGUAAAACUAGAUAUCAUAAUACAUACAUACAGUGAAUUUGCAAAUAAGAAGACAAUCACACACAAUCUCCACCAUAAAUUCAAUUCGUUAGGUAUAUUUUUAGAGGAUAUAAUAUAUGGAGUUCUUGUGCUGUUAGUUCCGUGAGCUUUUAUAGAUGGCUCUAGUUUCUUUAAGUUUUUCGAUGAGUGCAUGCCACUAUUUUAUUUUCAUUUUAUGGCUGUCAUCAACAAGUACAGCUGCGGAACCGGACUCUCAUUGAAAAACGAAGGCGCUGACCCCUAUCCACGCAUAUGGCGUUACUAUGUAUUAGGUAUAGGAACAAGCACUCCAUAUAUUAUAUCCUCUAAGCAGUAUUUCCAAACGAAUAGAUCGUCGGCAUGGGCGUAGCUAGAGAUUUUGUCUAGGGUGUGCCAGAUGAUAUCGUCCACCUGAAGCCAUAACCGCAUAAAUGCGCAAUUUUUUUUACUUUACUUCUUCAUUGGCAAAUAAUUCGCCAAUCUCUGUGUUUUUUUUAAUAACUUGAAAUUUGCCAAAACUUUAUUUAUAAUAAUAGCCCUGUUCCCUUCGAGAUGCUAGUUUACUCGCGAGUAGAAAUCUAGUACAACAACUACACUUUCAUAUGUCCUCGAGUAGAAGAUCAUGUGUUAAUUGUAGUACUAGAUCUACUCAUGAGUAAACUACCACCUCCAAUGGAACGGGGCUAAUCUGCCCUAGCGAGGUAUUCCGUCGGAGCGGAGAUUUUCCGCAAUACAUACUUCGUCGGAGGUUCAAAUUGCAUUCGAGGUAUCUUUCAUCGGAAAAAAUACUAGACAAAUACGACGACGCACCGCAUCGCAAUAAUUUGAAACGUCACUUUCAAGAUUUUAAUAGAGAUGUACAAUAUAUACCGAUAUAUCGAUAAGUUGGUAUAUCUUCCGAUAUUUUUAUAUAAAAACACCUAAAUACAUUUAAAUUUUCAUAUUAAUAUUUAGAGAGUUUCAAUUCAUAGUUUCUCAUAAGUAAGAAUGUCAAUGUAUGGUAAAAUACUCCCUUUUGUUAUUAGAAAAUGAAUCGAUAUUGCGAUAUUUCUAUUCAACAAAAUAUCGAAACGAAAAAUAUCGAUAAUUUUUUUUUGAGAAGGCCAUCUCUAUAAUUAUCACAAAUGACAAAAAAAAAAAAACAAUUCAAAGAAUAACAAACGAGUUGAAGUAAUUUUAUUAAAAAGUGUCCAUGGCAAGUGUCGCGUUAUUUUUGGAGGCCGAGUCCAAACAAAUAAGGGCAAACAAACUCAAGAAAAAAGGAGGAUUUUAAAAAGUGAAAGAAUAAUUUGACAUGCGUCACUUUCAAGAUUUUAAUAGAGAUGUACAAUAUAUACCGAUAUAUCGAUAACCCUUCAAGCAAGAAAACUGAGUUCAACAAAGACACUCCGCCCUCAGAACGCGAAAAAAGGGGUUGCACUCACACACUUGUAACUUUUUGUGUAUGAACACAAAAGUCGAAGGAGAAGCGUGGUGAAAAAUGAGAAAAGGAAAAGAAAGACAAGGCCAACAAGAGCCAAAGCGUCAUUUUGUUAUUUUUUGUUGAAGUGUUUGGUCGCGUCGUGUCUCGUGUCGUUGUUUGUAUAAUGUUAGUUUAUUAAUUAUAAACAAUUUUAUUAAAUUAUAAACAAUAUGGAAAACAAAAAAGAUGAAGAAAAAUCUAGAAGGUGAAACAUGCGAUUGGGAAUCUAAAAAAACACCAACAACAGCAGCAGCAUCAAAUGAAAUAAAAUAAAAAAAAGUUAUUGUAUUUUAUAUUGCAUUUAUUGUGAAAAUUUCGUUUGCUAAAAUAAAAUAAAAAAUAAAACAGUUUCAGUGAAAAAAAAAAAUAAAUCUUGUUCUUUUUUUGGUCGCAAAUGCGAAAUGUCAUCCCUUUCUUAUUCCUCUUUCUGGUAGGUUUUCGCUGCUCCGGCUCAGGUCCGCCUUCGGCUCCGUGUUCUCGGAAUGGAGAUUUUCACCACACCAAUACAUAUGCAAUCGACUUCGCGGUGAUUAUAAUUUCCAUACUAAUUUGAGCCGCCUUCGGACCAGUUUCUGAUCCGAAGUCGGACUCAGCUCCGCCUCAGGCGGAGCGGAUUCGGACCGAGGUCGGACCUGUUUGCUUGAAGGGAAGUUGGUAUAUCUUCCGAUAUUUUUAUAUAAAAACACCUAAAUACAUUUAAAUUUUCAUAUUAAUAUUUAGAGAGUUUCAAUUCAUAGUUUCUCAUAAGUAAGAAUGUCAAUGUAUGGUAAAUUACGCCCUUUUGUUAUUAGAAAAUGAAUCGAUAUUGCGAUAUUUCUAUUCAACAAAAUAUCGAAACGAAAAAUAUCGAUAAUUUUUUUUUGAGAAGGCCAUCUCUAUAAUUAUCACAAAUGACAAAAAAAAACAA